AGUGAACGCUGGCGGUAGGCCUAACACAUGCAAGUCGAACGGCAGCACAGUAAGAGCUUGCUCUUACGGGUGGCGGGUGGCGGACGGGUGAGGAAUACAUCGGAAUCUACUUUUUCGUGGGGGAUAACGUAGGGAAACUUACGCUAAUACCGCAUACGACCUACGGGUGAAAGCAGGGGAUCUUCGGACCUUGCGCGAUUGAAUGAGCCGAUGUCGGAUUAGCUAGUUGGCGGGGUAAAGGCCCACCAAGGCGACGAUCCGUAGCUGGUCUGAGAGGAUGAUCAGCCACACUGGAACUGAGACACGGUCCAGACUCCUACGGGAGGCAGCAGUGGGGAAUAUUGGACAAUAGGCGCAAGCCUGAUCCAGCCAUACCGCGUGGGUGAAGAAGGCCUUCGGGUUGUAAAGCCCUUUUGUUGGGAAAGAAAAGCAGCAGGUUAAUACCCCGCUGUUCUGACGGUACCCAAAGAAUAAGCACCGGCUAACUUCGUG
rnacentral:rRNA from 1 species